rnacentral:lncRNA from 1 species
CAGGAGGUCAAGGUUAUCUCUGGCUACCUAGGGAGUCUCAGGCCACCCCAUCUCAAAACAGUGUUCAACACUAAAAAUCCAGCAUCAAAGAUUUUUAUCUUGCAGAGGUGUGAGUGGAGAUGGAACUGAGAGAGAGGGAGAGGACUGGAUUCCGCUGCUUCUUUUGAGAAUGUAGGGUGGAAGGGACCUGGUGGGGAGUAGAGAGCUGUAGGCUACUGGAGGGCUCUUAAGCCAGAGAGCCCAGCACCCGCCUGGGAGGAGCAGAUUGCCUGUCAACUGCAGCUACAAGGGAAUCAGAGACCCUCUUCUGGCCUUCACCGCACACAGAGACAGAAACACACAUAAAAUAUAGUUUUUAAAAAUUCAUGCUGGGAGCCUGGUGGUAGUGGCACAUACCUUUAAUCCCAGCACUCUAGAGGCAGAGGCAGGUAGUUCAAGGUCAGCCUGGUCUACAAAUCGAGUUCCAGGACAGCCAGGGCUACACAAGAAACCCUGUCUUGAAAAACCAAGAAAAAAAAAAUUCAUGCCGGACAAGGCAGUGGUUGGGCAUGUCUUUAAUCACAAGCAGAGGCAGGCAGAUCUCUGAGUUCGAGACUAGGCUGGCCUCCCAAGGACUGGGAUUGCAGUCGUGCAGCACUACCCCUGACUCAUAAUCACACUCAGACAGAAAGCAGAGGCAGAGCAAGACUAUGGGCUGGGGCUGUAAUCCCACCGCUUGGAAGGUUGAGGGAGGAAGAUUGUCAGUUUUAGCACAACCUAAACUACAGCCUAAGUUCCAAGCCAGGUUAGGCUAUAGUAGGAGACCCUGUCUUUCAAAACAUGCCCUCCCUGGCCAGUGAAACAAAAACUCAAAUGGAACUGCAUGCUUUGAGAUCUGGGAACCCUACUUGGAGGGGGGUAGCAAGCACACCUGGCACACAAGUCAUUUAACUGGCGUUGGCCCUAACCUGGGGUCCCUCCCUGAACCUGGCAGAAGCCAAUGGAUGCGGAUCUGUUCCCAUUUUAGAGGUUAGGUGAGGCCGGGGGAAGGGGUGGGGGAUCAUUUUAAGUCCCUGGCUUAUGGGUUUGGCGGAUUCGGUGGGCCUGGUCCUCCUUGUCCCUGCUCCGGUUGUUGCCUGCCGGCUUGUUUUACCUCCCCCCGGAGCCAGCGACAGGAAGUGCACACGCGUGGGAGCGGCGGGGGCGUCCGCACUCAGUCCCCUUGUCCGGACCUAUCUCCCAGAUCCCUGGGACAGGGAUGCCCCCCCCCGCCCCGCUCCGGCCUCGGGACCCCAGUGCCGAGCCCCUCCCCUGCCAUUGUUUACUCCAUGGCAGACUCCAGGAAACUUUGCUCGCCCGCAGUAAUUUUAUUUGGGAAAGGCAGCCGGUUGCUAUAGCAACCGCACUGACGUAAGAGGGGCUGGGGCCCCGAAAUCCCCCGGAAGGGGGGGUCGAGGAGGGGAGACCCCGAGAAGGGUUCUCUUUAACCCUACGCGCUCCUGCGCCUAGCGGCCGCCGCACACAAACCUUACAUCUUCUGUCGCCUCCCCCUCCUUCCUUUGGCCGGGGCUGCAUGCCAGUCCCUGGUGCUGGUUUAGGCCUGGGGCCACUCCCGUGUCACCCACCCCGGGGGCCACUCCCGUGUCGCCCACCCCAUCGUCAGGGUGCUACACUCCGAUCCUGCUUGCUGUCCCCUCACUGUGCCUUGGCCGGCUGGGGUUCCUGGGGAUGGGAUUUGAUGCCAGUCACAAAUCACAUUGCCAGGGAUUUCCAACUGACCUUGUGCUCUGCCUUGGAGGCUCCAGUUGCCAAGGAUGACUGCCUAUCUUGGGUACUGGGUGAGAGAGAAGCCCAGCAUGACAACUGGCCUGAGGAGCAGGGCUUAGCUGCUUGUGAGCAAGGUCCGCAGCAAGUCGUGUUCACAGUGGCUAAGUUCCGCUCCCCCGGGCCCCAUCUCCUCAGACUCUGCUGCCCACCCUGCUCUGCCUCCUUCUCCCUGGGCUCCGCCUCCUGUGCCUACUGAGCUGAAACAGUUGAUUCCAGUGCACUGGCUCAGUUCAGCAGGAACAGGAGUCCAGCCCCCUAGGAGCUGGCACCCCUACAGAAUGUCUGUCAUGACUUGAGACCUGGAUGGAGUAGGGACCUGGGAGGAGUGGGCCCAUCAGUUGUGCCUAGGCCCAGCUAUCUGCUAUAGCCCUUCCUCUAACCUUCAUCUGGAUAUGCCACUCCACAUGGCCACACCUUGAGAUUUUUUAUGGUCCCCACAGAGAAGAGAUGGAUGAGUGGCUGACCCUUGCAUAAAAGGCAGGCCAGCUGUACCCCCUCAGGGCCUGCAGCCCUUCUUCUCAUAAGCCCAGCGGGGCCCAGGCACCACCCCUUACACCUUCCCUGCAGUCACUUACCCAAGAGGAAGCUGCUUUUGGCCCUCUGACAGUUAAAUGCCAACUCCCAGCUUCCGCAACAAAGCACUGACCUUACCCGGUGUGCUUGGUGCCCCACGAGGCCUGCAGCUUUCCACUGGAGACAGUGAUUCAGGGAGCAAGUCCACAGGGCCCUAAAAGGGUAGGAACAGAUCCACCCCUUCCCCUGGUACUGGGGCUUGCUGGAGUAGUCUCCAGGCUUGGAAGUUAAAAAGUUGCCUGUAUCUCCAAACCAGACAGGAUGCAGGCAUUGGCAUGGGGUUAAGUUACACUUCCCAGAUCACCCAGUGUCCCCUCCCAACCCUGGGUAGCGGCAAAUGGAGGCUUGGGUGGAAGAACAGAGAGGUGGAGCUUGUAUUGAAUGUUGUGCCUGUUUUCCAAUUAAAUAAAAGCUUCCCAGCUUCAUUCCUUAAGGUCUGAUGUUUCUUCAUUCCUGCCUCCCAUGUGGACUGUUGGCUUUUUUCUUUUCUCUUAUUUUGAGACAGUGUCUCUCUGUAGACCAGGCUGACCUGACUCAGCCCUCCCUCGGUGUCUGGAGUUUUGAGAUAUUGGUACACCCUUACACCCUACUCUGGCCCUGACCUCACCUAUCCCUAACCCUGCUGAGCAGGUGACAUUUGGGGGCAGCUUGGACCGGAGGCAUAACUCAGGCCUGGGGUGUGUGAGAGAAUUAAUGUGUAAAGGAACUUUGAUUGGAGGUGUGAUAUGGAGUCACGAAGCCUACUAGGACAUUAGUGGCUGGCAAACCUGUGCUGCACUCCAGUUCCAUGAGGGAAAUUGCUAACCCAAGAGCAAUGUCCUAGAUCCAAGAAAGUAUCUGCAUACGCCAGAAUGUACUGGCCAACAAGGUGCCAGGGAUUCAGGCACCUUAGGUACUGAGGGGCCUACUAGAAGUAGCCUCCGAUUGGCUCCCUUGAGCAAACGAGCACCAUCCGCCAAGUCAUGGCCAGCUCCCUUAGUGCCUGACCUCGCGCGCUGCUCCAGCGCCCCAUAGCGGCCAGCUCCCCUCGACCAUGACUGAGUGUGUUAAUGGAUAAAGGAUACAAAGAACCCGAGAAUGAGAAAACCAAGGCAACGUCCCCUGGAUGAAUCCAUCUGAGAACUGGGAGGCUCAUCCACAGCCCACAUGUGCAAUGGGCUCGCCACGGCGGGCCCAGGAGUUCCCUUCAGUUCCAGGCGUCCCCAGCUGCACUCGGUACCUGGCACGACCUCCCGAACUCGUUGUCUCGAGCCAGGCGCCCUCUGGUGGUCAUUUCUUGUGGUGUACGUGCAGCGCAAUCCUGGCAGUCAGGCUGUGUGCCCUUUGCUAGAGGCAUUAUAAAAGCCCGACUUUCAGGGAGUCUGUGACAUGCAGCAGAGCUGCCAGCAAGAAACUGCUCUUUUUUUUUUUUUUUUUUUUUUUUUUUUUUCAGACAGGGUUACUCUGUGGCUUUGGAGGCUAUCCUGGCACUCGCUCUUGUAGACCAGGGUGGUCUUGUAGACCAAGGUGGUCUCGAACUCACAGAGAUCCACCUGCUUCUGCCUCCCAAGUGCUGGGAUUAAAGGCGUGUGCCACCAACGCCUGGCAAGACUGUUCUUUGUGUCACCAAGAUGCUACUGGAGGAAGCCAGCAGCCCCUCCUAUCCCACUCUUGAAGCUGUGCCCAAAAACCAAAAUGGAAAUUGUUUUGGUUAAUCGAAC